UUACAGACCCACCUUCACGGAAGGGUUGCGCUUAUUAGAUACCGAACCAANCCCGCAAGGGAUUUAGUUGAUUCAUAGUGUUCUGGCGAAUCUACAUUAGUCGAUGAGGCUAUCAAGUUUCUGACCUAUCAGCUUCCGACGGUAGGGUAUUGGCCUACCGUGGCUUUGACGGGUAACGGAUGAAUUAGGGUUCGAUUCCGGAGAGGGAGCCUGAGAAACGGCUACCACAUCUAAGGAAGGCAACAGGCGCGUAGAUUACGCAAUCCUGACACAGGGAGGGUACUGGCAAGAAAUAUCACCUAUAGGACUUUUGUGUCUUGUAAUUGGGAUGAUCGGNACCUAANUCGCUUCUCGAGUAUCAAUUGCAGGGCAAGUCUGGUGCCAGCAGCCGCGGUAAGUCCAGGCUCCAAUGAGCGUACAGUAGCCUUGNUGCGGUUAAAACGCCCGUCCAUGGAUAUCUGUUGAGCGGGUUUCCGGUCCUUCCCAGUGCGUAUUUCGCUGUNGCUCCGGCCCGNAUUUGUUCAGGGAGGCAGGGUGCAACGUCACCGGUGUUGACAAUAUGAUCUGGAAUUUGACUUUGAGGGAACGCCAUUGUUCCAGGCAGGCACAUCCGUCUUGUGUACGAUUGCAUGGANUUAUUUGAHCAGACUCUGGGUUUAANGCUGGUUGGAUACGUGAACUCCAG
rnacentral:rRNA from 1 species